ACGACUUUCUCAGCAGGCGUGAAGACCGGAGGCUCGUUCACGUCCUCCACGUUCACGGUGACUGUGGCUGUGGAGGUCGGCAGACGGGUCGCGAAAGGAGCCUCAUUCUCCACAGUGACCAACAAGUGAUAAGGCCUUCCAUCUUGCCUGGACCAGUAUGGACACCGAAGAGUCCUCCCUCGUUUCCUCUGAUGAUGGUGUAUUUCGUGGACCAGGCCGGGAUGGAGUCAAUUCCAUUUCGGUUCAGGAAAUUGAUUGAUUAACACAGAACCCUGCUGAACUGGAGGCGGAGCCUCACCUCCCUGUCCAGCCCCGCCGCAGCCACACUGACCACUCCGCUGACCGCGUUUACGGAGAACAUGCUCGGGCUCGGCAGCCGCGGCUCCUGGCUCACGAUCUUGUACCGGACGAUACCGUUAUCUGUGGUGGGAUCGUCCUUGUCUGUCGCUGUGACCUUCAUGAAUGCAGAAUCUGAAAACGAAUUUGACUUUAUUGCUCAUUAAUAUCGACCAGUGCCAAUGGCAAAGAUGGCCCUACCGGUAAAAUGUAUCAUUAUGAAUAGCUUCACAUUAUCAAAAUCCAUGGCUGACCAUAUAUAAAUAAAUGUACCCAUUUGUCUAUGAAUUCAUGC